UGGGCAGUCCUGUGGGACCCAAAUGGCCGGGCUGGUGCCCUCCUGAGCAAAGUGCUUCUUAGAGCCAGAACUUCCUUCUCUCCUUCUUCCCUUCCUUCCUUCCUUCCCCUCCCCUUCCUUCCCCUUCUUCCUGUAUGACCCUUUCCCGCUCCUGUGUCAAGCACAGGAUACAGAGCUGGAAAGGGGCAGUCCCCUGGCCUGUGAGAAGCCGGUGGAGAGACAGCCAUGCAAAUAUCCCCUCCCAGGCAAUGUGCUGGGCACUGGUCCUUGGAGUUCCCCAAAGCCCUGUAGAAGACAAAUGAGGCUGCCUAAGGUGUCAGGAGGGCUUCCUGGGGCCGCUGGUGCUGCAUUUUACACCCUAAAACACACAAGCACUGCGUCUGCCUGCACAUACUGUGCGAGGACAGGCAGCCAUACUUUGGCUCGUGCUGUCCCCACUGCUCGAUAUUUUUCCACUCUCCUCUCUCAGAUAGCUCUGACUCAGUUGCCACCUCUUCCAGGAAGUCUGCAGAAGCUAAGUUUCAGCACCCCACAGAGAGGCUCAUCUGGGUGAGGCACUGAUUUUAUCCUGCAGAUAAGGGAAAGCCACUGUCCUGGAGGGGCCCAGAGUGGGAGAGGGACAGUGUCCAGUGAGAUAGUGCUGGGCUCUGCUGAUCCUGCUUUCUAAGAGUUGAUGAGCCCCUGUACCUCACCGGGUCUAUCCCUCUCUCUGCACCGAAAGGCCAUACUGUCUUGAUGGUGGCCAUGUCCUGACCACCUCUGUGUCCACAAGUGCUUGGUGAACCAACGUGAAGGAAGUGAGCACAGGGGAAGUGAGCCCACCAGACAGAGGUGUCCAGAAAUCACCUUGUGGUGAUGUAACAAUUUGGUCACAUACUGGCCUAGCUUCCAAGGUGGUGCCCAGGUUUCCCAUUAUUCUUUCAUGGCAGAGAUGUUAAGAGAAAGAUCUGGAUCUGAGUUCUGGCUCUGCCUUUUCCUACCUUGGUGACCUCUUUGAGCUCCCAUCUCCUCAACAGCAAAAUGGGGAUAAUAGUUGGACAUACCUCAUAGGUUUUUUUUGAUGACGAAAUAAGAUAAUGUAGGAUUAGUCUGCAGUGCUCUGGCUGGCACGUAGAUGGGCUCUAAGUAUAUUCUCUGUUAUCCGAGCCCUCAUCACUCCCUCUUCAUGCUCUUAUUCUGUGGGCUGAAAAUUCUGGAAUCAAGAAAGCUGUCUGAUUUAAACUGGUUCACACUGAUUCUAGCCUUAGCCCUACUCAAAGAGAUCCUGAUUCAUUAGGUCCAGGAUGGGUUCCCAAACUCAUUAUUUUUAUUAAUCUUUAUUUUUUAAUGAACAUCCUGGAUGAUCCCGACGGUUAGCCAGGUUUGGGAGCCACUAGAAUAAAUGAUAAUGGGAUUUUAUUUUAAUAAAAGCCAACUUGUGCCCUUAAAAAUGGAGGUUUAGCUUAGAGGCAAUUUCCCAUGGCCCCUGGAAGCACAGCAAGUAGAACCCUCUCCCUUCCUAUGGGGAAGGUGGCAUUUCUCCAGAGAAGCUCUGCUGGAAGGGGUGGGGGCAGCACCAGCUGUGUCCCCUCCUGCAGCUGUUUCAGGGCCACGGCCCAGUGGAAAUCACUGUGAAAUUCGUUCUCCACAUCUCCCAAAGCUGGGCCAGGUGGCCCUUGCCUGGAGCGGCUGAUCCCACCAGACAAGAGGAUCUGCGGGCCAAGGAAAUAUACCCACCCACCUCCACUCUGCACAGGGGUGCCCCAAAUCCUGCCUGCCUGGACCAGCAAGUGCCUUUUGUCCCAAAUCAAUUCAUGCCUUCUCACGGGGAGACCUUCUUGACUCGGCGUCAGGGAGCGCCCAGCGCUUGCAUUUCUGCAGGUUCACUCAGGACUGCUUGGCUUUGGAAGGUGGUCGUGGCUGGAUUCCACCUCAGCCCGGGGACACCCUGAGGCCUGGGACAGAGCUAGCUGCUCUGGGAAAAUGCAAGUGGAGGAGGCAAGGAAAUCUGUAGAUGAGGACAGUGUGGCCUCGGCAGAUUUCGCUCAUCCCUGUGAGUGACAGCCGGUGGGG
ensembl:lncRNA